rnacentral:rRNA from 1 species
AGUGAACGCUGGCGGUAGGCCUAACACAUGCAAGUCGAACGGCAGCACAGUAAGAGCUUGCUCUUACGGGUGGCGAGUGGCGGACGGGUGAGGAAUACAUCGGAAUCUACUUUUUCGUGGGGGAUAACGUAGGGAAACUUACGCUAAUACCGCAUACGACCUACGGGUGAAAGCAGGGGAUCUUCGGACCUUGCGCGAUUGAAUGAGCCGAUGUCGGAUUAGCUAGUUGGCGGGGUAAAGGCCCACCAAGGCGACGAUCCGUAGCUGGUCUGAGAGGAUGAUCAGCCACACUGGAACGGGGCCACGGUCCAGACUCCUACGGGAGGCAGCAGCGGGGAAUAUUGGACAAUGGGCGCAAGCCUGAUCCAGCCAUACCGCGUGGGUGAAGAAGGCCUUCGGGUUGUAAAGCCCUUUUUUUGGGAAAGAAAAGCAGCAGGUUAAUACCCCGCUGUUCUGACGGUACCCAAAGAAUAAGCACCGGCUAACUUCGUG